UUCGCAUUCGUGAAGCAGUCUUGGGCGCCGGGUUGUCAGUGCUGUCAGCCUACCUAAGCAGAGGAAAAUGGUGCAGGCAGAGCGCACCUGGUCUCGGGAAAAUGCUGCCCGCGACAACCCACUGCGGGACCCUAAAUGUCUCGACAAUAAGGCCUCCUCGGCACGUCUCUGAGGUCGGGUCCCGCUGGAGGAGGAGGCGUUUCGAAACUGUGAGGUGGGUGCUGGAAAUUGCUCUUCUGACUCUGUUCCAGAAAGAGGCUGUGUGCAAGAAUCCGGUCGCAUGGGAAUGAAAAUACAGUCCGGUUGGAACCACUCUUUUGGUACCAUCUUCAAAGAGACAUUUCAGAUCCCAUUGAGGCGUACAGAGGAAAACCAAAUAUCCUGCAAUUAAAAACUAGAAACAAGCUAUUUGUGAAAAUGCUUUGUGAUGUGUUCAUUCAUUUUACAAAGUUAAACCUUUGUUUUGAUUCAGCAUGUUGGAAACACUGUUUUGUAGAAUCUACAAUGUGACAUUUCUAAGCCCAUUGAGGCCUAUACUGAAAAAUCAAAGAUCCCGUGAUAAAAACAGAAAUAAGCUAUCUGUGAAUAUGCUUUGCAAUGUGAGGAUUCAUCUCACAGAGUUAAACCUUUGUAUUGCACAGCAGUCUGGAAACUCUCUUUUUGUAAAAAAUCUAUGAAGAAACAUUUUGGAGACCAUUGAGGCCUAUAGUGAAAUGUUGAAUAUCCUGUGAUUAGAACUAGAAACAAGCUAUCCAUAAAAAUGUUUUGUGAUGUUUGAAUUCAUUUUACAGAGUUAACCCUUUGUUUGAAUUCUGCAUGUUGGAAACACUCUUUUUGUAGAAUCUACAAAAGGACAUUUCAGAGCUUAUUGAGGCCUAUAGUGAAAAACAUAAUAUUCCAUGAUAAAAACUAGAAACAAGCUCCUUGGGAAAAUCCUUUGUAAUGUGUGGAUUCAUCACACAGAGUUAAACCUUUGUUUUGAUUCAUCAGGUUAGAAACACUACUUUCUUAGGAUCUACAAAGGAACAUUUCAAAGCCAAUUGAGUUACAUAAUGAAAAACUAAAUAUUCCACAAUAAAAAAUAGAAACAAGCUAUCUGUGAUGAUUUGUGAUCUGUGGACUCAUCUCAGUGUUAAACCAUUUUUUUGAUUCAGCAGGUUGGAA
rnacentral:lncRNA from 1 species